CAGGUCCAGGAACUCGGGCAGCCACGGGGGGUCAGGUGCCACGGGCAGCCACGGCGGGUCAGGUGCCACGGGCAGCCACGGCGGGUCAGGUGCCACGGGCAGCCACGGCGGGUCAGGUGCCACGGGCAGCCACGGCGGGUCAGGUGGCUUGGGCACCCACGGCAGGUCAGGUGGCUUGGGCACCCACGGCAGGUCAGGUGGCUUGGGCACCCACGGCAGGUCAGGUGGCUUGGGCAACCACGGCAGGUCAGGUGGCUUAGGCGGCCCCGGUAGGUCAGGUAGCUUGGGCGCCCACGGCAGGUCAGGGUCCGUAGCCGGCCACAGCAGUUCACAGGCGGUUGAAGACCGUGGGCGUGUAAGGUCCCCACCCG